rnacentral:lncRNA from 1 species
GUGUUUGGUCGACAUUUCCCAGGAGCCAAAAGGGGUUCUAUCAAGUGAACCCUAAAUUCACAAAAUUGAUCAAAAUCAAGGAGAAAUCAAGCCAAGAAUUUGGGGCUUUUAAUAAAAUCGUGAUCACCAAGCUUAGGGGAUCACAAGGUAUGUUGAAUUUUGAUGAUUAUUGGUGCUUAACAAGCUAGGUGAAGCUUGGGGAGCAAGUGGGUCGAUUGAAGCAAGUGAGAAAAGAAAAGCGUAAUUCGGAUGUGAGGUAAGUCAAAACUUACACCUUUUAUUUGAUAUCUAUUGGUUUUAUAGAUUUUGAAUAAUCAAAAGUCACAUUUGACUUAUGAUGUUUCGACCCGACAUGCGAGGUUCGGAACAAAAGACAAUAAUGAUAAACCAUGUUGAAUGGUUAAAAAGAGCUAAUAAGGUCAUUUAGUCAUGUAAUGAUUAAUAAAUAAAGAGUUUUGAAUGAUUUACCUUAUAAGGUAAAUCAAUACAAUUAAUAAGGGUAAAACAAUGUAGUCACUCGUUGACGAUAACCGUUAGUUUUUGAAGGACACUUUAUGGCAUAAGAUAUAAAGGGGUCAAAAUAAUCAAGAAAUAGAUUUAUAAGUAAAUUGAUCGUACGGUGUAAACUGGUACAAGUCAUGUAGACGAGAUGAUAAUAAAUCCAUCUCGUAAAAGUAAACGGUCAUAUAGACCAAACGGGUCAAAAGGUGAAAAUAUCACCCUUUGACAAUAUCGGCUAAUGUUUUGUCGAGUUGCAUGAUUACAGGAAUAAAUAUCGAUUGAAUGAUGGCAUCGCUAUUACUUAGCGCCACUAAGGCAAGGUAUCGUAACGGGUCAAUACAUUGAUCCGAGCCAGGUUUGAGUAAUGAUUCAACUCAUCAUGUAGAAUUUGAGGUUUUCUAAGAGUUAAACAAGGUCAAAUUGGAUAUUUGGUUAUCUUAAAGAUAAACCGAAUAAUUCAAGUUUUAAAUGUAGUGUUUUAGAAACAUAAUGGUUUCUAAACAAGGUUAUAGUUAAAAGGCCGGAUUUUUGGGUCAAACAAGUAUCUGAAAGUCCUUCGUUGUAAAAGAAGGACCAAAAUUGACCAAAACGCCCUUGUAGGCUAAAUUGAACAAACAACCCUUAAAGAUUGUUUGGAAACGAGUUUCAUGAUUAGAUAAAUAUUUAGAACAAGUGUAGAAGUUGAAAGAUGUAAUACGUUAGUCAAAUGGCUCUAUUUGAGUCUUGCCGUAAAAUAAUAAUCCGAGGGGUAAAACUCGGAAUAUACAGAUAUCCACAUUAGAUCUAACACACAUAUAGUUGUAGUUGAAGAUUAAUUGAUAAGAAAUGUAGGAAUAAGAUGAUAGAAAUGAAUGAAAGCGAUUUCAGGCUUUAAGUGCUUAAAAUACCCUUAACGGGUCAAAAUAAGCAUAUGAGCGAAAACGGGUUUAAAUUGUGUAAUAAACCUGUGAUUAGAACCUAAUAUGGUAGAUAACCUUAAUUUGAAGAAGUGUAUGUGAUAUAAAGAUCAAACAAAUAUGUUUGUUUGAUAAAAUGCAUAAACGGGUUAAAAGUCGAUAAAAAGGUAACGAGUCGAAGGCUUAGAAGUCUCAAAAUUUUGUUAUGAUGGAUGUUGGAUUUUAACUCCAUAUGAUGGAGAAUUAAAUUACGGACGCGUAGGAAAAAGAAUCGGGUAAAACGGAUAAAAAAUGAGAGAGUUAUGCUCGUUUCCGUGAAAUCGGGUCAUGCUGGGUAUGUACAGCAACAUAAAAGAAACAUUCUGCCAAAAAAGGGGGCUAGGUGGGGCGUCUAGCCCCUAGGCGUGACGCCUAGCCCCCUGAACAUGAAAAACGUUUAAUUUUGUUUGUUUGACCCACAUAACUUGUUUAAACUUGUUAUUUAACUAUCAAAACUAACUUUUAAGUUGGUUUUGAUCAUAGGUGAUUGCCAAGAGUGUCCGGAUGAAGAUCAAGCUCGAAGAAGAACCGAACACGAUAAAGUUAACAGCUUCCGCGCGGCGUUUCGUCGUAUCUUUUAAACGACGAAUUCAAUUACAUUAAGUUGUUCAAACUUUUAAAUUGUAAAAGUUUUAGUAAACUCGUAUU